CUUCGGGUCUAGUGGCGCACGGGUGCGUAACGCGUGGGAAUCUGCCCUUAGGUACGGAAUAACUCAGAGAAAUUUGUGCUAAUACCGUAUGAUGUCGAAAGACCAAAGAUUUAUCGCCUAAGGAUGAGCCCGCGUAAGAUUAGCUUGUUGGUGAGGUAAAAGCUCACCAAGGCGACGAUCUUUAGCUGGUCUGAGAGGAUGAUCAGCCACACUGGGACUGAGACACGGCCCAGACUCCUACGGGAGGCAGCAGUGGGGAAUAUUGGACAAUGGGCGAAAGCCUGAUCCAGCAAUGCCGCGUGAGUGAUGAAGGCCUUAGGGUUGUAAAGCUCUUUUACCAGGGAUGAUAAUGACAGUACCUGGAGAAUAAGCUCCGGCUAACUCCGUGCCAGCAGCCGCGGUAAUACGGAGGGAGCUAGCGUUGUUCGGAAUUACUGGGCGUAAAGAGUACGUAGGCGGUGAUUCAAGUCAGAGGUGAAAGCCUGGAGCUCAACUCCAGAACUGCCUUUGAAACU
rnacentral:rRNA from 1 species